GAUGAACGCUGACAGAAUGCUUAACACAUGCAAGUCUUUGGCGAAGCUGUGCUUGCACAGCCUAGCCAAGGCGGACGGGUGAGUAACGCGUAAGGGACUUGCCCUGCAGUCAGGGAUAACAGACGGAAACGACUGAUAAGACCUGGUAAAGUCAGGCGGACUCAUGUCCAGCCUGAUGAAAAGGAAUGCUGCAGGAGAGCCUUGCGUCCUAUUAGCUUGUUGGUGGGGUAACGGCCCACCAAGGCGAUGAUAGGUAGCCGGCCUGAGAGGGUGGACGGCCACAAGGGGACUGAGAUACGGCCCUUACUCCUACGGGAGGCAGCAGUGGGGAAUAUUGGACAAUGGGGGCAACCCUGAUCCAGCAAUUCUGUGUGCACGAUGAAGGUCUUCGGAUUGUAAAGUGCUUUCAGCAGGGAAGAAAAAAAUGACGGUACCUGCAGAAGAAGCGACGGCUAA
rnacentral:rRNA from 1 species